UGCCAGCCGCCGCGGUAAUACGGAAGGUGCAAGCGUUACUCGGAAUCACUGGGCGUAAAGCGUCCGCAGGCUUUUUGGUUAGUCUGAUGUAAAAGCACGGAGCUCAACUCCGUGUACGUGUCGGAAACUGCCAGAAUAGAGUCAUACAGAGGCAUCUGGAAUUUCGUGUGUAGGGGUAAAAUCCGUUGAUCCACGAAGGAACGCCAAAAGCGAAGGCAGGGUGCUGGGUAUGUACUGACGCUCAGGGACGAAAGCGUGGGGAGCAAACAGGAUUAGAUA
rnacentral:rRNA from 1 species